rnacentral:rRNA from 1 species
UACGGAGGUUGCAAGCGUUAUCCGGAUUUAUUGGGUUUAAAGGGUGCGUAGGCGGGAGGAUAAGUCAGUGGUGGAAACCUGCAGCUUAACUGUAGAACUGCCAUUGAUACUGUUUUUCUUGAGUAUAGUUGAGGUGGGCGGAAUGUGUAAUGUAGCGGUGAAAUGCUUAGAUAUUACACAGAACACCAAUUGCGUAGGCAGCUCACUAAACUACAACUGACGCUGAGGCACGAAAGCGUGGGGAUCAAACAGG